rnacentral:rRNA from 1 species
UACGUAGGGGGCAAGCGUUGUCCGGAUUUACUGGGCGUAAAGAGUGCGUAGGCGGUUCUUGAAGUCCGCUGUGAAAGCCCCGGGCUUAACCUGGGAAUGGCAGUGGAAACUGGAGGACUUGAAUUGAGCAGAGGGGGGUGGAAUGCCGCGUGUAGCAGUGAAAUGCGUAGAGAUGCGGCGGAACACCGAUGGCGAAGGCAGCCCCCUGGGCUUAAAUUGACGCUGAGGCACGAAAGCGUGGGGAGCAAACAGG